rnacentral:rRNA from 1 species
UACUCCUACGGGAGGCAGCAGUGGGGAAUAUUGGACAAUGGAGGGAACUCUGAUCUAGCGACGCCGCGUGCAGGAAGAAGGUCUUCGGAUUGUAAACUGCUGUGGUAAGGGAAAAAUGCUAUGUAGAGUGGAAAGCUACGUAGAGGGAUGGUACCUUACUAGAAAGCCCCGGCUAACUACGUGCCAGCAGCCGCGGUAAUA